rnacentral:rRNA from 1 species
GACGAACGCUGGCGGCGUGCCUAAUACAUGCAAGUCGAACGCAUUUUCUUUCACCGUAGCUUGCUACACCGAAAGAAAAUGAGUGGCGAACGGGUGAGUAACACGUGGGUAACCUGCCCAUCAGCGGGGGAUAACACUUGGAAACAGGUGCUAAUACCGCAUAAUUCCAUUUACCGCAUGGUAAAUGGAUGAAAGGCGCUUUUGCGUCACUGAUGGAUGGACCCGCGGUGCAUUAGCUAGUUGGUGGGGUAACGGCCUACCAAGGCUGCGAUGCAUAGCCGACCUGAGAGGGUGAUCGGCCACACUGGGACUGAGACACGGCCCAGACUCCUACGGGAGGCAGCAGGAGGGAAUCUUCGGCAAUGGACGCAAGUCUGACCGAGCAACGCCGCGUGAGUGAAGAAGGUUUUCGGAUCGUAAAACUCUGUUGUUAGAGAAGAACAAGGAUGAGAGUGGAAAGUUCAUCCCUUGACGGUAUCUAACCAGAAAGCCACGGCUAACUACGUG